rnacentral:rRNA from 1 species
GUGGGGAAUCUUGCGCAAUGGGCGAAAGCCUGACGCAGCCAUGCCGCGUGAAUGAUGAAGGUCUUAGGAUUGUAAAAUUUUUUCACCGGGGACGAUAAUGACGGUACCCGGAGAAGAAGCUCCGGCUAACUUCGUGCCAGCAGCCGCGGUAAUACGAAGGGGGCUAGCGUUGCUCGGAAUUACUGGGCGUAAAGGGCGCGUAGGCGGACAGCUUAGUCAGAGGUGAAAGCCCAGGGCUCAACCUUGGAAUUGCCUUUGAUACUGGCUGUCUUGAGUUUGGGAGAGGUGAGUGGAACUCCGAGUGUAGAGGUGAAAUUCGUAGAUAUUCGGAAGAACACCAGUGGCGAAGGCGACUCACUGGCCCAAUACUGACGCUGAGGCGCGAAAGCGUGGGGAGCAAACAGGAUUAGAAACCCCUGUAGUCC